rfam:Brachypodium distachyon strain Bd21 chromosome 1, whole genome shotgun sequence.
ACCGAUGAUGCGUCGCCCCAUGAUUGGAGGUGCAGAGGGCUCCAGGAUCCUGUUUACAGGAUGAACCUACCUGGGGCCGCUGCAUACGCAUGACAACCCCGGGCAAGUCUGAGGU